rnacentral:rRNA from 1 species
GACGAACGCUGGCGGCGUGCUUAACACAUGCAAGUCGAACGGAAAGGCCCUGCUUUUGUGGGGUGCUCGAGUGGCGAACGGGUGAGUAACACGUGAGUAACCUGCCCUUGACUUUGGGAUAACUUCAGGAAACUGGGGCUAAUACCGGAUAGGAGCUCCUGCUGCAUGGUGGGGGUUGGAAAGUUUCGGCGGUUGGGGAUGGACUCGCGGCUUAUCAGCUUGUUGGUGGGGUAGUGGCUUACCAAGGCUUUGACGGGUAGCCGGCCUGAGAGGGUGACCGGCCACAUUGGGACUGAGAUGCGGCACAGACUCCUACGGGAGGCAGCAGUGGGGAAGAUUGCACAAUGGGCGGAAGCCUGAUGCAGCAACGCCGCGUGCGGGAUGACGGCCUUCGGGUUGUAAACCGCUUUCGCCUGUGACGAAGCGUGAGUGACGGUAAUGGGUAAAGAGGCACCGGCUAACUACGUG